ACCAUCUUCGCUUGAUCGUCGUUGCUCCCAACCUGGCUUCCUCAACGGCUCCCCCACCCGCUCCUCGCCUCACCGCCUGCUCCUCGUUCCCCGGCAUCCACCUCACCUCCAUCUCCUCUCCCCUAGCCCCUCUGUAAAAUCUCAAUAAACCUCCUUCCCACUGAG